CUAAAUAUACAUUUGAUAGCUUCAUAUACCACCGACAUGAUCAUGUUACUAUGAACUUUGCCAGAAGUGGAGGACAUGGGAUGUUAACAAAUGGACGGACACAUGUAGGGGCUGAGUGUGACUUUAGCCACACCAGAUGUUUCCAAAAAAAAUUUAUAUACUGAAAAGAAAGAAAAAAGUACAGAAUUGUUAACCUCAAACAAUCACAUAUUCUUUCUCUCUUCCUCUUCAAAUUCUCAAAUAAGCAAGAUCAGAAGUGUCUACCUCAAAUCCUCAAUCUUCAAUUCUCUACCAAUUGUAAGCUUAUAGGUGUAUUUGAAAAUCUAAGGUAAAGUGAGUAUUCCAAUUUUCUCCUAUUCUUUUCUCCUUUUUCAGCUGAAUCCUAAAACCUCAAUUUGUUAAAAUUUCAAUUUUCUCAAUUUCUCAUAAAUGGGUACCUUUAUAAUCAAUUGGUGUGAAGAACAAUAGUUAUUUAGUUGUGAUUUUGAUCUGUUAUGUUCAGUAGGUUAUUGUAUGAUUGCAUUACUUUGUAUUGUUAAUAUACCUUGAAUUUG